AUAACCAGAACACAAAAAUGGAGGUGGGGAGCAUGAGAUAUAUACAAUACGAUGGUGGAUGUACAAUCACAGAGGUUCGGAGACCGGUGAUGUGACGAAAGAGUUUUGUGAUGCCUUGCGCGGUUUCAUGUGCCAGGCGACAAACCAAGAUUUUGCUCGUGAAAACGGUAUGUGACGUGGAAUCAUGGCGAUUAGUAGGAGGAUGAUCUAGGGUCUCGGUUAUGGUGUUAUGGUUAUAUUAUUGAUGUGGGAACCUUGGAUAAAGUUAUGUUAGGUUGUUGGAUAUAAUGGUUAGGAAUGUUAU